GAAAGAGACUUCAGAUACAGUAUUAGGGGACCACUAAGAUCUAUAUAAAAGCAUCCAAAGAGGACCAUGUCAUGGUACCUUUAA